rnacentral:rRNA from 1 species
GCUGACGAGUGGCGGACGGGUGAGUAACGCGUGGGAAUCUACCCUUUAGCGGGGGACAACUCGAGGAAACUCGAGCUAAUACCGCAUAAUCUCUACGGAGUAAAGAGGGCCUCUAUUUAUAAGCUUUCACUAUUUGAUGAGCCUGCGUAAGAUUAGCUUGUUGGUGAGGUAAAAGCUCACCAAGGCGACGAUCUUUAGCUGGUCUGAGAGGAUGAUCAGCCACACUGGGACUGAGACACGGCCCAGACUCC